AACUUUAAAUCUGAAUUAACAAAAGUUAAGGGAAAAUUAGUCAGACAUUACACUGCUGCAGGACGGGGACCUCUAUUGGAAAGGGGGAGAAGUCGUCUCCGCGGAAACGGAUGUGUCGUAAAGUGAGGUUGGGCGUUUGAAGCCGUUUGAGCGGCGAAAAUCGCAUUCAAGGUCACUAUGAGCAAACAAGAAGAGUUGUGGGAGAAGCUAGACUCCGAGUUUGACCACAUUCUGCUAGACAUGAAACCGUAUGUUCUCAGGCAUCCCAGCAAAACAGAGCGUCAGCAUUGUGCCAUAUGGAUAAAGAAGCUGUGUGACCCGACAACUUGUGGUUCGGGUGUGAUGGAUCGAAAGAACCGCAACAUGUAUGCCCAUUUGCUGCUUUCUAUGCUCAAAAGGGGCAUCCUGGAGGGCCCUUUUACUGCCAAACCAGAACCCGGAAAGCUCAAGACACUUCCUACCUACAUGUCCAUUUAUUUUGAUGAACCUCUGAGUGGUCGAUCGGCUGAGCAGAGCAACAGAGGUCUUCCUGACUGGGUCACAGGAGAGCUGAGUGGUUGCGCUGAUGAAAGUUUGGCCAUGGAUCUUCUGAAGGACCGAUCCGGUUCUACACCCAUUACUGCUCAUCACAGGAGGAGACUGUACGAGGAAAAGGUCCUUCCUGAACCCAUGUCCUCUAGUUCAUUCAAGCUGAGUCCAAGACGAGACUCAAGAAUGGUGGAUGGGAUGCUAAAAGCAAAUGUGUCUGCUGGCGACAGUGAGUUGGAGACUCGCCUUAACAGCUGGAACCUCGGGAUUGAAAACCCCAGGUAUUUGAGAGAGAAGCCCAGCCCCUUGUCACCAAUUUUAAAGUCAACCAUUGAGACGAAUAGCACCUUUGCCAUUGAUCAUGGUCUACAAAGCAAAGAGACUGAGAUGAAGAUCAAACUGUUGGAGGCCAAGCACCAGGAGGAGAAACUGAAAAUGCAACAGAGACAUGAUGCAGAUGUUGAGAAGAUUCUGGACCGCAAAAAUCUGGAGAUUGAAGAGAUAAAGAGUGUGUACAGAGUUAAGCAGAAGGAAUCUGAGGAGAUGAGCCGUAAGCUUGAAAAGAAAGUUCAAAGUGUUCUGCGUGAAUCCCAGAUCAUCUGUGAGAGCAAAGAGAAGCAGAUAGCGGAGCUGAAGAAGCUCUCCGAUCAGAGUGCUGACUCUAUAAAAAAUGAGUGGGAGAAGAAGUUACAUGCAACUGUAGCAGAGAUGGAGCAGGAGAAGUUUGAAAUGCAGAGGAAACACACCGAAAACAUCCAGGAGCUGCUGGACGACACCAACCGUAGGCUGGCUAAGAUGGAGUCCGAGCACAACACUCGUUCUCAGGCCAAUGAAAAAAUAAUGCAUGAGCUGGAGCUGCGUGUGAAGCAACAGUCAGUGGAGUUGGAGAAGGCCAACGACUUGCGCAGAAAGGUGACGCAGGAGAAGGCCCGGCUGGAGAUCCACAUCGCGUCGCUUGGUGCUGAAUUGCAAGAGACAAACAAACGGAUGAUGAUGCUGCAGAAGGAGAAAGAACAGCAGAGCGAGCAACAAGAGGAGAAAGUGAUGAAUCUCCUGGCCAAACACGAGACAGACAUGAGCCACCUACAUCAGGAACACGCUCUGUCUGCCGCUAAGGCUUCAGAGAUGAUAGAGAUCUUGGAGACAACAGUGGCUCAGUUCAAGCAGCAGCUUCAGGAAAGCGAGUAUAGAAGACAACAACAAGUCAGAGAUCAAGAGAUGAAGUUCCAGCAAGAGAAAGAUGAUCUGCAGGCUUGCUGUGAGAAAAAGGUGUUGGCAGUUCACAGUGAGGCUGAGAGGGAGAAAAUUGAGGCCAAGAGGAAGAUAGCCAAACUAGAAGAUGCACUAAGAGAGAUGGAGAGCCAGCUGGACAGGGCGAAACAGAGCCAAAGACAGCAGAUCCAGCAGGCCGAUUUGGCACUGGAGCAGUUCAAGAAGCAGGUGGAGCUCAGCUCUGAGAAGGUCUACACUGACAUGAAACUCCAGAUGGAGAAGGUAGAGGAGGACUUGAUCCGCUCCAAAACCCUAAGGGAGAGCCAGGCCAAGGAGUUCUCUCUACAGCUUGAUGCACUGAGACAGAAAUAUGAGCAGCAGAUGGCUGAGCAGCACGCACAGCACGAGCAGGAGAGGACGCGGCUACAGCAGCAACACAGCGCGGAAAAGGACAACCUGGUCCAGGAGCACCAGCGGGAGGCGAGCAGCCUGGAGAGGCAGGCCAGGGCCACCCUGCAACAGCACCAGCAGCACGCCCAGGAGUGGAGGAAGCAUGAUGCCCAGACAGUUUCUGAUUUGGAGGCCCAAGUGUCAACUCUACAUGAUGAGCUCCAGCAGGCCCAUGAGCAGCACAAGCAAAAGCUGGCCGAGAUGGUGCUGCUUCAGGAGGAGGAGAGGCAAAAAGCGACCCACGCUAAGGAGGCGGCGAUGCAGCAGCUGCGCUCCGACAUGGAACGGAUGGCCAACGAUCUGAAGAAGAGCCACCAACAGGAGAUGGACGCCAAUCUGGAGAAGACCAACAGCAGGUUGAAGCAGAUUGAGAAGGAGUACAGUCAAAAGCUUGCCAAGUCUGCCCAGCUGAUUGCAGAGCUGCAGACGUCGGUAUGUGACUCUAAAGAAGAGGCUGUUCGCCUGAAGCAGGCGAUGGAGAAGCAGCUGAAGGAGGUCAAUGCUCGGUGGGACGAAGAGAGACAGGCAAUUACCCACGAUGCCGAGCAGGCCAACAAGGCUCUGCAGGAAAAGCUGGAGACUCUGCGGAGACAGCUGCACAGUGCCGAGAAGAAGCUGCUCAACAAGGAGCUGGAGACAGAAGAGAGGGUGACAAUGGUGCAUCAACAGUAUGAGGAGAAGAUCAAAGGUCUGAUGCCGGCGGAUCUCAGGAAGGAGCUGGAGGACACCAUCACCUCCCUGAAAGCUCAGGUCGGCUUUCUCCAGAAGACGGCCACUUUGCUGCAGGAAGACCUGGAUGCCUGCCGCAACAGGAGGUAACAGCAUGAAGCUCAGACACUCCAGGACAUGAAGGACGAUGCCGGCCAACAGAAUGCUGUCACUCAAACACAACAGGGGCUAUGAAACAGCAAUGGCUUUGAGUGAUCUGAGGACAAGUGGGUUAGAGGCUAUACAGACUCUGUGAAGAAGGCGCAGCAGGUUGUGUUUUUGUGAUUGUGGCAGAAAUCCGCCAUCAGAUGAUGUGGGCUGAGCAGAGGGACAGAGGCGUUUAAGACAGUGUGGGAGGUUUGUCUGCAUCUCUGACCCUCUGUCUAUGUCUUUUUUAUUUAUCUUACUCAGUGUCUGCUUUUAAUGUGGCUGUGGAUACGCAGACCACAGGGACAUCCAUCCAUCCAUCCAUCUUAAUGAAAGCUGAAAAUGCUUCUGUCUGUCUGUUCUUAGCCAGACCUUUAAAGCUGAUGCAGUUAACCUCGGCCUCUCUGAAACCUCAGUUUGAUCAGACACCUUCAGUGCCACCUCACCGAGCCGCGCUGAGCCACCAAAUGUGUCCAUUGCCGAUGCUGUGGACUCCCACAUAGUCUUGCUGUUUUGCAUUUAGAUUGAAGAGAAGCUUGCUUUCAGUUUAAAAUGCAAAUACAGCAUAAGUUAUGUAAACAAGUGAAAAAUGUCUGCUGAUUUUCGACAUGAGGUCAGUGACACGAUGAAGAUAUUUAGGGAAAGUGUUUGCACAAGAUCUCGCAAAAGUAUGGUCAAAUUCUUUUUUAUCAUAUUGCAAUUACUUGUAUUGGUGUCUUAUGUUAUAGGCUAACAUAUAACAUGGAAAAAUAUGUACAUCAGUGCUGUCCAAAGUUUUUGUAGUGGAUGCCGAAACAAUCAGAUCCUUCAUGAUUGGUUUGGUCUAUUUUGUUUUUUCCUGCCUGCCUACUUUGAUGCUGGAUGCAGUAUUGCUCAUUUAAUAAAGUUAUAUAACUGGGGAUUUUAUCUUGUAGGCAACAAAAAGUUAUAUAAUUUUUUUUAAUGCAGUUUUUUUUUUUCAAUUUUCUUUUUACCUACACAGCAAUAACAUACAAGAUGAGGGAGAAAUAGCUUGUUUUCUUUUACCAAAGACAAAAAAGAAAUCCUACAACUGCUAAGAUCUCACACCACUCCAUUUUGUUCACAUUUUGUGAAGAAGGAUGUUGCGCUCAUUUGUUCUUCAGAGGUAUACAUGUUGGUCCCCAAUUGAACCGAGUCUACCGGACUAUCGGCUGUGCUAUUGGGCCAAAUUUGGUCCAUUUUUCAAUUAAGAGUUUCGCAAAAUUCUUUCAAGGGUCACAAAUGGUUCCCUAGAGCCACAAUCUGGGCACUCCUAAGAUAAAUACUUCUUUUGCUUCCGAUCCUUCCAUGAUGUGUUGCAGUGCUACGUUUCCCCUCAACACAUAGCAUCCAGCCCAAAAUGAUUUGUUCUCAUUGGACCUGAAAACACUCUUCUGCAUGUUUCCUGUGUCUCCUUCCUCAAAGGUAUCGUCUUUAUCUUCUCUAUGUGUAACUUUACAUGGGACUUCUUCUGUCUUUCUUCUUUAAAGGCCAGACUUGUUAAGUGCAUGGGGCAACAGGAAGUAUAAAAAAAGAUACAAAUCUGGCCUCUGAUGUGUGGGCAAGCGAGUUAAUCACCUUUCCUAGUUGGAACGAGGGGGUUAGGAAGAAGGCCAACGGGGUUACGGUGAUAGAUUAAGGAUGAGUGAAGGAGUCCAGGUUAAGACUGAUUCAGAGACAAAUUGCCGUCCUGUCAAUCAUGGCAGAACUGGGGCGUCUGGCCUGUGAAGUGCCUGCAUGGUGCUUGACUGCGAGCGGCAGAGGAAAUAAAAGUCAUUACUGUCAGUGUGGAGUGAGCUUCAUGGCCCAAACGGGAUUAAACAGUGCAUCCGACAUUGUUUCUAUACAUUGGUAGACUUAAAAGUCAAGCGCAAAAUAGGAUUAAAACAAGGGGAAAAAACCAAUAAAUAACCUUCAACACCCACCAACACCCCACCACCACCCCCCCCCUUCUUCUGCUGCUGCCUUGUAUUUCUUCUCUGCCUUAUUUCCCUACCAAUUCCUUUCCUUUUUCAUGUCUCAUUCUCUUUCACCUGUCUCCCUUCCAAUUCCACUCUCUUUGACACGUUUAUCUUCGUCUUCUUCCAUCUUUCACACUCUCAUCCCCCAUUAUCAGAAUUUACAGGUGAGGCGCCGGCUGCUGCUCGCUCUCACUGCUUUCAUGUUUGACCAAAAAAAGAAAGAGAAAACAUUCUUCUGGGGCCAAUUGGCGCCUGAAAUCCAACUUCAUUCCCCUCAAACUGAACCCUUUCGAAAACAAACCCCCUGCACCACUGGCUUUUAUUCCCCACUUCUUCCUAUUUCAAAACAGCCCCCAUAACAUACUUGCGAAUUGUUGCCCUUCCUUAACUUUUAAGGCUAUUAUGCACCAUGUCCGACUUCAAAGCCUGUCUUAACUCCACACUUUAAUUGUAUCUUCCCCAACCCGCUGCGUACUAUUUGAUUCUGCUGACAACAGCACUUCUCCCUCUCUUCUCGCCCCAUAUUUCUCAUGCCAACGUUUGGUCCUGGCUUAAGUCGACCCAUUGCGCCAUCACUACCACCAUCACCAUCACCAUCACAGCUCCUCUCAUCAGCUUUAGAGCCUUUUGUCCCCCCUGUUGUUACUCACUUUGAAGAGGUAGUCUUCCAUUUCCUCUCUCUCAGCAGUCGAUUGUCUCCCGGGGUGUGUACACACCAAACAAACUUGAAACAGUAACCCCCUGUCCUGCACUGGCAGACUCCUACUCUUUCUUUAUCUUCUCUAUGAGCAAGCUGACUUCCUCCUCAUGGCUCUGGUUGAUAAUUGCCAUAAGCUUCCCUCUUGGUUUCAUUUUCCAUUGUCCUCCCCCAAAUUCUUGGCGCUGGCUCGAGAUAAAGGGAUGAGCACUUCAAAGGGGUUGCUGCGAAGAGUUUAACCCCCAAGCCGAAAAGGAACAGCACACAAUACUGUAAUUGAGAGCGAGUUACUGAUCACAGAGCUGCAGCACAGAGAGGACGGCAUGCCGAGGGGAGUGUUUAUGGCUACCGCUGAGGCGGCCGGCAGCACUAGCGACAGGUUGGAGGCUACUUAGUUGUAAAAACCUCCGCCCGUCAAAGCUAUCUGAUUGUUUGUAAUCUGAUAUGUCUUUCAGUGAAGGUGUAGGCCACUUGUGACUCACGGUCAUGUAUUUUAUGUGAUAUAUUAGUAGAUGCUCCUGGAAAAAAUUAAGUAGCCACUAUCGUGAAGACCAAGGAACACAGCCAACGGGCCAGAGAGGAAGUUGUGGAGAAGUUUAAUGCAGAAUAUAAAGCAAUAUUCCAAUUUUUUUACAUUUCACAGAGAUCUGCUCAAUCCAUUAUCUACAAAACAAACUAGUGUGGAACAACAGCACAUCUAUCAAGUCAUGGUAUCCACCUUACUCUUAGGAGGGCAUUGAACAGAGAAUCAGUCAGGAGGCUCAUAGUCACUCACUCUAUCUGGAAGGGUGACUAUGAGCAAAUUCAUGUGUUAGAAUGACCCAGUCAAAGUCCAGAUCUAAAACUAACCAGGAUUUUGUGGCCCGAUCUAGAGCUGUUUUCCAAAUAAAACACACAUGUCAGCCCUUGAAUUGCUUUAGAUAGGUCCCAAAAGCCCGUAGCUGUGCUCAGAAGCUGGGUCAGACUUUAGAAAGGGUUAACUGCACCCUAAGCUUUUGGGGUCCCAAAGGUGUUUUUUUUUUUGCUUUGUUUUUUUAAUGAAGGGAUGUUUUGUAAAAAUUGCACUUCAUAUAAAACUAAUAGGCCCAAAUUAAGUGAGAUUUAUUAAUGUUUUGGGAUUUUUAUGAAUAUAUAAAAUAUUCAAGUAUUUGAAAAAUUAUAACAUUGUGGUUGAUUUUUUUGGGAAAGAUGGAGUUAUUGGCUAAGGGACAAACUAAACCUAGCAUGCAUCAAUUCAUUGCUAGCAUGCAUCAAUUCAUGCCUGCUGAUAUAUAAGAUUGCUAUUAAUGUACUGUAAUUUUCAUUAGUAAAAUAAUUUUCCUCAGUGUAUAGGGCACCAAAACUGCCUGCAGCCCAGGGAUCCACAUCCUUGUAGAUCCGGCCCUUGUCAGAAGGUCUUUCUAUGAAGCAUUUCAUACAUUUUUCAGACUUUUUUUGUAAGAACAAACUUUCACUUCUCAGUUAUGCACUACUUUCUUUGAUCCUAAAACCUUACAUUAAACUCUGUAUUUGUAAUGUGAUAAAAUGUGAAAAUGUUGAGGGAGGAUGAAUGUUUUUACAAGGCACUCUUUGAUGCACACAAGAAAAGACUCGCCUACUUGUGAUUUAUAUGUCCCCUUCUCUGUCUAUUUGUAGGAAGUCAGAGCUUGACCUGUCCCUGUAAUAAAAUCUCCCUAUAAACGGAGAGUAACAUCCCAUAACCUCUCUCCUUGAAGCACUCUUUUCAAACGUCUUU